GACGAACGCUGGCGGCGUGCUUAACACAUGCAAGUCGAACGGUGAAGCGCCUUCCUUUUUGGUGGGUGUGGAUGAGUGGCGAACGGGUGAGUAACACGUGAGUAACCUGCCCCCUUCUUCUGGAUAACCGCAUGAAAGUGUGGCUAAUACGGGAUAUUCUGGGUCUGUCGCAUGAUGGGUCUGGGAAAGAUGUUGUUUCGGUGGGGGAUGGGCUCGCGGCCUAUCAGCUUGUUGGUGGGGUGAUGGCCUACCAAGGCGGUGACGGGUAGCCGGCCUGAGAGGGUGGACGGUCACACUGGGACUGAGACACGGCGCAGACUCCUACGGGAGGCAGCAGUGGGGAAUAGUGCACAAUGGGCGCAAGCCUGAUGCAGCGACGCCGCGUGAGGGAUGGAGGCCUUCGGGUUGUGAACCUCUUUCGCCAGUGAAGCAGGCCUGCCUCGUUUGUGGGUGGGUUGACGGUAGCUGGAUAAGAAGCGCCGGCUAACUACGUG
rnacentral:rRNA from 1 species